rnacentral:sRNA from 1 species
GCCGGGUGUUGUGGUGUGCACCUGUAAUCCCAGCUACUCAGGAGGCUGAGGCAGGAGGAUCGCUUGAACCCAGGAGGCAGAGGUUGCAGUGAGCCAAGAUCGCGCCACUGCACUCUAGCCUGGGCGACAGAGCAAGAGUCUGUCUCAA